GUGGUUUGGAACAGGGCAGGGAUGGAGGGAAGGUCCUUGUAUCUUAGACAUCAAAAUCCCAGGAAAAUAAUUAGGAGGUGUUUGGGAUUCUGCUGAAAACUCUGACAACAGACCAGAAAUAUCUCCAAGAGCACCAGCAACCCCAGCUAUCUAGACCCGAAGUGGAUAUACUCAGAGGCAUCCUGGCCUACCCCACCCCUGACCCCAGAGAAGAUGCUGCUGCCCUCAGAAGACGCCAGAGCCAGCCACACUGCAAGUCUGGGAGGAUCGAGCAAGGCAGGCUGCUCAGUGAAGGCUUCCUCUCCUGUAGCAGGAAGAGCAUCGUUAAGAACAAGUAUGCAGGGCUGGACUACUCUGGAGAUGUAAUGACCAGAGCUGAGACCCCCGAGACCAGAGUGACUAUGAAGGACUGUCGUCACCUUGUUCCUGAACAUCUAAUGCCUCUCAGCUCCAGGAGGCCACUGAGGAGAAACCGAAGGCUAGUUUUCCUUGGAAGCCAGCAGCCUGUCCACCUGUUCCACUUCCCUGCCUCUUGCAGCCUCCGCUCAAACACUACCAUGGUUUGGGAGCACGGAAAAACUAGAAAAUACAGAAAUAUAUCAAGAAGAAAGAAAUUUAAAAAUCAACCUGAAUCCCACCAACCAGAGACAGCUAUUAAUGAUUGUGGUAUAUUUAUUGCCCAUGGCAUGGAUGGCACCGACAAUCGAGGCAGGCAGUGCUGGUGGAUACACCUAGGAGGUCCUGUUGGAAGAGGACCAUUCGUGUGCAGAAACGAGGAAAUAGACAUGUAUGAGCUGGAAGAAAAUCUUAUCCGUCUGAUUCAAUUCCCUCAUUUCACAGAUACAAAGAAGCAACACUAUGGAGAGGCUGAUACGAUGUCAGAUGGGGAGAACACACAUGAAUCUUCACUUUUCCUAAGCUGUUUCAGACACGAUGCCAGCAAAAACCAACAACAAAAGCAAAUUUCUCAUAAUCAACAACGGCAGCCCCAACUGCCAGACUGUGAAAGCCAUGGAAACCAGUUUGCACUAGAAGAAAGGAAGGAUCUCUGGUUUGAUUUUUUUUCCAUUCAAUUGCAUAAUUCUCAGAUCUGCCUGCGAAUGCUAAAGUGA
rnacentral:lncRNA from 1 species